rfam:Paenibacillus bovis strain BD3526 plasmid unnamed1, complete sequence.
UCUAACUUAUCACUUGAGAACUGGAAUGAUGAGAGCCAUGUUUCUCUGAAACAGUUCCGUUAAUACUCCUACAUGCGCUGUGAAGCAGUAAACAGGGUGUGAAGCUAGGUGAAGUCGGCAGAAGUUGGGCUAAGUCUAUAUUCUAGAUAUGCCUCAUGAUAUGCCGGACGGCUGAAAA